GAUGAACGCUGGCGGCGUGCCUAAUACAUGCAAGUCGAGCGAACAGACGAGGAGCUUGCUCCUCUGACGUUAGCGGCGGACGGGUGAGUAACACGUGGAUAACCUACCUAUAAGACUGGGAUAACUUCGGGAAACCGGAGCUAAUACCGGAUAAUAUAUUGAACCGCAUGGUUCAGUAGUGAAAGACGGUUUUGCUGUCACUUAUAGAUGGAUCCGCGCCGCAUUAGCUAGUUGGUAAGGUAACGGCUUACCAAGGCAACGAUGCGUAGCCGACCUGAGAGGGUGAUCGGCCACACUGGAACUGAGACACGGUCCAGACUCCUACGGGAGGCAGCAGCAGGGAAUCUUCCGCAAUGGGCGAAAGCCUGACGGAGCAACGCCGCGUGAGUGAUGGAGGUCUUCGGAUCGUAAAACUCUGUUAUUAGGGAAGAACAAAUGUGUAAGUAACUAUGCACGUCUUGACGGUACCUAAUCAGAAAGCCACGGCUAACUACGUG
rnacentral:rRNA from 1 species